GACGAACGCUGGCGGCGUGCUUAACACAUGCAAGUCGAACGGAAAGGCCCUGCUUUUGUGGGGUGCUCGAGUGGCGAACGGGUGAGUAACACGUGAGUAACCUUCCCUUUACUUUGGGAUAACUUCAGGAAGCUGGGGCUAAUACCGGAUAGGAGCUCCUGCUGCAUGGUGGGGGUUGGAAAGUUUCGGCGGUUGGGGAUGGACUGGCGGCUUAUCAGCUUGUUGGUGGGGUAGUGGCUUACCAAGGCUUUGACGGGUAGCCGGCAUGAGAGGGUGACCGGGCACAAUGGGACUGAGAGACGGACCAGAAUGCAACGGGAGGCAGCAGUGGGGAAUAUUGCACAAUGGGCGGAAGCCUGAUGAAGCAACGCCGCGUGCGGGAUGACGGCCUUCGGGUUGUAAACCGCAUUCGCCUGUGACGAAGCGGGAGUGACGGUAAUGGGUAAAGAAGCACCGGCUAACUACGUG
rnacentral:rRNA from 1 species